UGGGGUAUAGCUCAGCGGUAGAGCAUUUGCUUAGCAUGCAUGAAGCCCCUGGUUUGAUUCCUAGCACCACAA
rnacentral:tRNA from 1 species